rnacentral:rRNA from 1 species
AUUGAACGCUGGCGGCAGGCCUAACACAUGCAAGUCGAGCGAGCGGCGGACGGGUGAGUAAUGUCUGGGAAACUGCCCGAUGGAGGGGGAUAACUACUGGAAACGGUAGCUAAUACCGCAUACUAUCAGAUGAACCCAUAUGGGAUUAGCUUGUUGGUGGGGUAACGGCUCACCUAGGCGACGAUCCCUAGCUGGUCUGAGAGGAUGAACAGCCACCCUGGAAUUGAGACACGGCCCAGACUCCUACGGGAGGCAGCAGUGGGGAAGAUUGCACAAUGGGCGCAAGCCGUAUGCAGCCAUGCCGCGUGUAUGAAGAAGGCCUUCGGGUUGUAAAGUACUUUCAGCGGGGAGGCGUUACCCGCAGAAGAAGCACCGGCUAACUCCGUGCCAGCCGCCGCGGUAAUAC